GAUGAACGCUGGCGGCGUGCUUAACACAUGCAAGUCGAACGAGAAGUGAAGACGGAAACCUUCGGGCGGAAGGCUUUAUUUCGAGUGGCGGACGGGUGAGUAACGCGUGGGUAACCUGCCUCAUACAGGGGGAUAACAGUUGGAAACGACUGUUAAUACCGCAUAAGACCACAGCACCGCAUGGUGCGGGGGUAAAAACUCCGGUGGUAUGAGAUGGACCCGCGUUCGAUUAGCCAGUUGGCGGGGUGACGGCCCACCAAAGCGACGAUCGAUAGCCGAUCUGAGAGGAGGACCGGCCACAUUGGGACAGAGACACGGACCGAACUCCUACGGGAGGCAGCAGUGGGGAAUAUUGCACAAUGGGGGAAACCCUGAUGCAGCGACGCCGCGUGAGUGAAGAAGUAUUUCGGUAUGUAAAGCUCUAUCAGCAGGGAAGAAAAUGACGGUACCUGAGUAAGAAGCCCCGGCUAACUACGUG
rnacentral:rRNA from 1 species